rnacentral:rRNA from 1 species
UGAGGAAUAUUGGGCAAUGGGCGCAAGCCUGACCCAGCAACGCCGCGUGAAGGAAGAAGGCCUUCGGGUUGUAAACUUCUUUUAUGGGGGAAGAGAGAGGACGGUACCCCAGGAAUAAGUCACGGCUAACUACGUGCCAGCAGCCGCGGUAAUACGUAGGUGACAAGCGUUAUCCGGAAUUACUGGGCGUAAAGCGCACGCAGGCGGCCGCUUAAGUCUGACGUGAAAUCUCCUGGCUUAACUGGGAGGGGUCGUUGGAAACUGAGUGGCUUGAGGCAGUGAGAGGGGUGUAGAAUUCCCGGUGUAGUGGUGGAAUGCGUAGAUAUCGGGAGGAAUACCAGAGGCGAAGGCGACACCCUGGCACUGGCCUGACGCUCAUGUGCGAAAGCGUGGGGAGCGAACGGG